rnacentral:rRNA from 1 species
AUCAGGGGUAAACCUGUGGAACUCGAACGAACGAACGGGGAGAUUCACCGUAUUUCCGCUCGGGGUCCGCGGCGCGGUCGUUAACCGCGGUCGUUGCGUCGUCUCGCGCGGCGUUCACGAUCGUGGCGAUCGCGUCGUAGCACGGCCCUCGGAGUGCGUGCACUUCUCCCUCAGUAAAACACCGCGACCCGUUCGGCAAGUCGCGGGAUCGAACCCGUCGUGCGGUUGACCCGUUUCGAACUCAACAUUCGGAGCGGAGCCGCGGCGUGGUGAUCUCGGACGGACGGUAACAAACUAGGUUCGCUUCCGCCGUUUCGACGGCGUCCGUAUUCCGAACCGGAUCGGUCCCGUGCGGACCUCGACGUCUCCGUGCGUCGCGGGCUCCGCACGCGGUCUGCCGGUCCGUCGCGUCGGAAUCUCUCGGACGGGAAGCGUCCCGGUCGGCGGUGGUUUUGUUUCGGGCACUCACAGGACCC